rnacentral:rRNA from 1 species
CAGUCGCCGCGGGAAUACGUAGGUGGCAAGCGUUGUCCGGAAUUAUUGGGCGUAAAGGGCUCGCAGGCGGUUUCUUAAGUCUGAUGUGAAAGCCCCCGGCUCAACCGGGGAGGGUCAUUGGAAACUGGGAAACUUGAGUGCAGAAGAGGAGAGUGGAAUUCCACGUGUAGCGGUGAAAUGCGUAGAGAUGUGGAGGAACACCAGUGGCGAAGGCGACCCUCUGGUCUGUAACUGACGCUGAGGAGCGAAAGCGUGGGGAGCGAACAGGAUUAGAUACCCCUGUAGUCCCUGUCUCUUAUAC